UACGGAGGGGGCUAGCGUUGCUCGGAAUGACUGGGCGUAAAGGGCGCGUAGGCGGACGGCUUUGUCGGGCGUGAAAUUCCAGGGCUUAACCUUGGGGCUGCGUUCGAGACGGGUUGUCUAGAGUUUGGAAGAGGGUCGUGGAAUUCCCAGUGUAGAGGUGAAAUUCGUAGAUAUUGGGAAGAACACCGGUGGCGAAGGCGGCGACCUGGUCCUUGACUGACGCUGAGGCGCGAAAGCGUGGGGAGCAAACAGG
rnacentral:rRNA from 1 species